ACUGCAUCCUUUCCCUCCCCUCUGCUUCUUCCCUCUUUAGCACCGACACUUCAUCCCUUCUCUCCUCUGCUUCUUCCCGCUUCCUCGUACACACUUCCUUCCGCUCUCUCUCUCCCUCCCUUAUAUAUAUUGACCCCCCAAGUAAAGCUAGCUUUGGCAGGGGCACGAUCACGCACCGCAACCUUUACCUGGGGCACGGCGAAGAUAGCGGAAGCGUCUUCCAACUCCAGCGAGUGCGUGACAACAGUAGCGCCAGGAGGGCGACGACGGCCAUAAGCCGCCGACCUCUGCAAGUCGCCAGAACAUGGCGUUUGCAUUGCCAUUGGGCGCAGGAUUUGCUGCAGGAUUGGCUGCUGGUGCUUUGCUGCGUCUAGGAGGACAGCCUACCUUGGUGCGUCUACCAAGGACGCCCCUAGCAAGGACCUGGUGGACCCCCCUAGGAAGGACCUUUACAGGUUCCUCUUUGGCACCAGGAGGAGAAGGCACAACGUCCAAGACCUCUUCCCAGUUGGAGAGAGAGUUGCAGGUGUGUUUGGCGACACUGGGUGAACUCCAAAGGCAUCUGGACGAGUGUAGGAAGGAACACGGUGAACUCGAAUCUGAACUCGAAGUGAGGGCAAAAAUCAUUUCGGAACUCGAAUUAAAGAUUCAAGUCCAAUUGGAAGUCGAAAUAAAGAUUAGGCUGGAAUUGGAGGAGUGUAGGAAGGAACACGGUGAACUCGAAUCUGAACUCGAAGUGAGGGUAAAAAUCAUUGGGGAACUCGAAUUAAAGAUUAAACUCCAACAGGAAGUCGAAAUAAAGAUUAGGCUGGAAUUGGAGGAGUGUAGGGAGACAAACGAUGAACUCCAAAAGCAAUUAGAGGAGUGUACAAAGGAAAAGGUUAUACUCGAAUCGGAAUUGGAGGCGUGUGAGGUGGAAGAGGGUGAACUCCAAAGGCAAUUGGAGGACACAAGGAAGACGGUGGUUGUGUUAGCAGAGGCAAAUGAGGCAGCUACAAAGGCAUAUGAUGCUGAGAAGGCAAAAAUUAUGAAGGAAAUACAGGUGUUAAAAAAGUAAGCAGCUGAGGAAGUAGGAUGUGACAAGAAGGCAUACUUAUCAUCGUGCAUCUCCAAAUGAUUACUUGAUUAGUGAUGCCGAUCUAUUGUGUUGCUAUGUAACCAUGAUCAGUUGGUACUAUGCAGUAAAAUAUAACAUGUAUUUCCUUUAUUA